AACGUAGGUGGCACGCGUUAUCCGGAUUUACUGGGCGUAAAGGGUGUGCAGGCGGGGGUGUCAGUGGGGUAUGAAAUCUCCCGGCUUAACCGGGAGGGGUUAUGCCAGACUGCAAUUCUAGAGGACGAGAGAGGGAUGCAGAAUUCCAGGUGUAGCGGUGAAAUGCGUAGAUAUCUGGAGGAAUACCGGUGGCGAAGGCGGCAUCCUGGACCGGCAUUGACGCUGAUGAGCGAAAGCUAGGGGAGCAAACGGG
rnacentral:rRNA from 1 species